rnacentral:lncRNA from 1 species
ACUGCAGGCUGGGGCUCCGCUCCCCGGCGGGAGCCCGCGCGUGGUUCCCAGCGAAGUCCCCGCGCGGCUGGGCCCAGCGUGAGUAUUCUCCGCCCGCUGUCCUCCCCCUGGAGGCGGCAGCGCCCGUUUAUUUGAGGAGGAUGAGGCUGUCACUACUACAGUUGGGACUGUUUCAUACUCCGUGCUCUUGUGCUAUGCCAGGGGGUACUGUCUAACCCACAAGUCUCUGCCAGGAAUGUUGCUGUCCACACUGGAGUGUAAGACACCUGCGGAGCUCGUCUAUGGGGCUCAUGUUGGCUGAGGCUCUGAACUACAGAACUGCAAACAACCAAGGGAGCGCCCCAGGCCCCAGGCUUCUAAUGUGAGGAAAAACACGGAAUGACAAGUGUGGGAAAGAGCAAGCACUAAAUUACUGUCAGAAAAAUAAACGGAGUAGCACAGUGCUGCUCGGUGAUUUACGGGGGCAAUUAGUCACCACCCCACGGCGCUGCUGAGGACAGCACGGCAGCAGACAAGUCAGGCCCAUGAGGAAGAAGAGGCUUUGCACUGCUCUCCAGACAACUUUUCAAACAACAAGAGAGGAUAUUUGAGCACAUUAGGUUUUGUGUCUUCAUUCUGGGUACCUACUCUUCAUAUUAUUCUACCAACUUAAUACAUAAACAUAUUUUUAGCACAAUAUG